rnacentral:rRNA from 7 species
GACUCUCGGCAACGGAUAUCUCGGCUCUCGCAUCGAUGAAGAACGUAGCAAAAUGCGAUACCUGGUGUGAAUUGCAGAAUCCAGCGAACCAUCGAAUUUUUGAACGCAAGUUGCGCCCGAAGCCUUCUAGCGGAGGGCACGUCUGCCUGGGCGUCA